rnacentral:rRNA from 1 species
AGUGAACGCUGGCGGUAGGCCUAACACAUGCAAGUCGAACGGCAGCACAGUAAGAGCUUGCUCUUACGGGUGGCGAGUGGCGGACGGGUGAGGAAUACAUCGGAAUCUACUUUUUCGUGGGGGAUAACGUAGGGAAACUUACGCUAAUACCGCAUACGACCUACGGGUGAAAGCAGGGGAUCUUCGGACCUUGCGCGAGUGAAUGAGCCGAUGUCGGAUUAGCUAGUUGGCGGGGUAAAGGCCCACCAAGGCGACGAUCCGUAGCUGGUCUGAGAGGAUGAUCAGCCACACUGGAACUGAGACACGGUCCAGACUCCUACGGGAGGCAGCAGUGGGGACUAUUGGACACUGGGCGCAAGCCUGAUCCAGCCAUACCGCGUGGGUGAAGAAGGCCUUCGGGUUGUAAAGCCCUUUUGUUGGGAAAGAAAAGCAGCAGGUUAAUACCCCGCUGUUCUGACGGUACCCAAAGAAUAAGCACCGGCUAACUUCGU